rnacentral:rRNA from 1 species
GAACUUAAGCAUAUCAAUAAGGCGAGGAACAGAAACCAACUGGGAUUCCCCUAGUAGUGGCGAAUGAAGCGGGAAAAGCUCAAGUUUGAAAUCCGGCGGGUGAUUUCCGGAGUUGUAAGCUGAUGAGGUAUCGACCGACGUGGUCCGGGCCCAAUUUCCUUGGAACAGGAGGUCAUGGAGGGUGAGAACCCCGUCCGUGGCUCGGGUGCCAUCGUCCUUGUGUCGUGUCCUCUAAGAGUCGGGUUGUUUGGGAAUGCAGCUCAAAAUGGGUGGUAAAUUUCAUCUAAAGCUAAAUACUGGCGAGAGACCGAUAGCAAACAAGUAGAGUGAUCGAAAGAUGAAAAGUACUUUGAAAAGAGAGUGAAACAGUACGUGAAAUUGUUGAAAGGGAAGCGUUUGGCAUCAGCCCUUGGCGUCCGUCGAACAUCCAGGCUUCUGCCUGGUGCACUCGUCGGUCGUCGGGCCAGCGUCGGCUCUGCCUGUCGGAGAAAGGUCCGAGGGAUGUGGCUCACCUUCGAGCGUUAUAACCUCGGGCGUCAUGCGAUAUGGUGGGGCCGAGGUCUGCGGACUCUGUCCUAGGACGCUGGCGUAAUGGUUCCAAGCGACCCGUCUUGAAACACGGACCAAGGAGUCUAACAUCUAUGCGAGUGUUUGGGUGUCAAGCCCGUCCGCGCAAUGAAAGUGAAUGCAGGCGGGAGCCGUAAAAGGUGCACCGCCGACCGGUCCGGGGGUUUACCGAAGGAUCCGAGUAAGAGCAUAGCUGUUGGGACCCGAAA